rnacentral:misc_RNA from 1 species
UACUUAAAAAAAGUAGUUUUUUACUCACAUUUUCAAAGAUAAUCCAGAAAAGCUUAUUGAGGUGUUGUGAGUUUGUAGUCUUAGACAAUCAGAAUGAAGUUGGAUUUUUGAAGUUGUGUGAGAUUUGAGAGAAGCAGAAAAAUUAUGCAAAACUAACUGCAUAACAUAGUUUCAUAGCAGUAUUUUAAACUAUACUAAUUUCCUUCUCUUAUACUAUGAUUUGCAAGGAAUUAGAUACAGAAGCUUUUCUAGUUCAUUCGAAUAAGCUAGUAGUUUUUCAUUUAUAAUUUCAAUGCUUUUCAGGAUUUAACACAAGAUAAAAUAAAAAGUGUGAGACUGCUAAUUUAUCCUCAAAUCAAGUAUCAAAAUUGACCUAUAUAUGACUAAAAAAAAUGUGUGAACCAUUAUCUAAUUUAUGAAAGCACUAACCAGAGAAUUGUAACAACUUGCUUCUUAGGAGGCCCCCGGAAUUCAUCAUUGAUUCUAUGUUCAAGAAUCCAUACAACAGCUCCCACAAGAAGG